CCUACGGGAGGCAGCAGUCGAGAAUCAUUCACAAUGGGGGAAACCCUGAUGGUGCGACGCCGCGUGGGGGAAUGAAGGUCUUCGGAUUGUAAACCCCUGUCAUGUGGGAGCAAAGUAAAAAGAUAGUACCACAAGAGGAAGAGACGGCUAACUCUGGGCCAGCAGCCGCGGUAAUACAGAGGUCUCAAGCGUUGUUCGGAAUCACUGGGCGUAACGCGUGCGUAGGCUGUUUCGUAAGGCGUGUGUGAAAGGCGCGGGCUCCACCCGCGGACGGCACAUGAUACUGCGAGACUAGAGUAAUGGAGGGGGAACCGGAAUUCUCGGUGUAGCCGU
rnacentral:rRNA from 1 species